CGGGGCGUAGCGCAGUCCGGUCAGCGUGCCUGCUUUGGGAGCAGGGGGUCGGAGGUUCAAAUCCUCUCGCCCCGA
rnacentral:tRNA from 1 species